CGACUGCUAAUACCGCAUACGCCCUACGGGGGAAAGGAGGGGACCUUCGGGCCUUUCGCGAUUGGAUGAACCUAGGUGGGAUUAGCUAGUAGGUGGGGUAAUGGCUCACCUAGGCAACGAUCCCUAGCUGGUCUGAGAGGAUGAUCAGCCACACUGGAACUGAGACACGGUCCAGACUCCUACGGGAGGCAGCAGUGGGGAAUAUUGCACAAUGGGCGAAAGCCUGAUGCAGCCAUGCCGCGUGUAUGAAGAAGGCCUUCGGGUUGUAAAGUACUUUCAGCGAGGAGGAAAGGUAGGUAGUUAAUAACUGCUUACUGUGACGUUACUCGCAGAAGAAGCACCGGCUAACUUCGUGCCAGCAGCCGCGGUAAUACGAGGGGUGCAAGCGUUAAUCGGAAUUACUGGGCGUAAAGCGUACGCAGGCGGUUUGUUAAGCAAGAUGUGAAAGCCCCGGGCUCAACCUGGGAACUGCAUUUUGAACUGGCAAACUAGAGUCUUGUAGAGGGGGGUAGAAUUUCAGGUGUAGCGGUGAAAUGCGUA
rnacentral:rRNA from 1 species